GAUGGAUCGGAGUUAAGAUCUAGUGUUCUCGAUGAGGUUUGACGUCAGACCGGCCGUAAACCAUUGAUGUGUGUUCAAAAUUGUAAGUUUUUUAAUGCUGACACCAAAACUUUAUUUACAGCUAUGGAAAACUAGCAAUGUUUGCCGAAUCCGCCAAGUUCCGCGAACAGCGACAGUGUGGAGCCAGCAUACCCGCUGUAUCCACACUGUCGAGGACUCAGGUACAACUACAAUUUGGGAAAAUAAAAGGUACAUAUAAAUGCAGUUUUCUAGUCCACCAUCCGGUCUUACGGUUAUGGGACAACUUUAUAUCGAAAUAUGUAUUGUACAGCUGAAAACCAGCGCGUUUACCUUGGCAGCAUAUGCUGAGCCCUUUCGGUAAUAAUGUUUGUGAUGAUUGUCUUACUGUCCUUUUUGAUUUUUGUCGAAUAAACGUUUUCUUCUUGGACUAAAUCGGAGCCCAGAUGGGCUCCGGCGCUCAACUGCUGACGAAUAAACUAAUAAUAGACGAAUAAAUUAAUAAAAUAGGUUUAUUACUACAGAUUUUAAUAUUAAGCAAUACAAAGUACUUCUUACUACUUUAAUAUACAUGUAAUUUAAUGAAAUUGCUUUUAGGAAAACCCGGAAUUGAUUUUCAUUCCGAGACUCCCACGGGAGUGGAGCCUAAAAACCAAUAUUCCCACGGUAAAAUAAUGCUAAAAUAUUCAAUCUAUCUUUUCUAACAUGAUACCAAAGAGCAAAAACUAAAGGCUAGAAUAGGAAGCAUUCAACACCGACAUUGUUACACAGUAUUUAACGUAUUUAAUGCGUGAAUGCACUUUUUCUUUGCAUACAUUAGAACACAACGCGCCAUAGAUUCCCGCGAACUCAACAAUGUAACAUAAUGGUUGAUAAUGUUGGAUCAAAUAUUUGUUUGUUGUAAAUAAAAGUGUAGAUAACAAUA